UACGUAGGGACCGAGCGUUGUCCGGAAUCAUUGGGCGUAAAGAGCUUAUAGGCGGUCUGUCGCGUCUGCUGUGAAAAUCCGGGGCUCAACCCCGGACUUGCAGUGGGUACGGGCAGACUAGAGUGUGGUAGGGGAGACUGGAAUUCCUGGUGUAGCGGUGGAAUGCGCAGAUAUCAGGAGGAACACCGGUGGCGAAGGCGGGUCUCUGGGCAGUAACUGACGCUGAGGAGCGAAAGCGUGGGGAGCGAACAGG
rnacentral:rRNA from 1 species